rnacentral:ncRNA from 1 species
UGUUCCCAAGUAGCAGCGUACUCGUGAAAUUCGCUGUGAAUCUGGCGGGACCACCCGCUAAGCCUGAAUACUCCCUGGUGACCGAUAGCGGACUAGUACCGUGAGGGAAAGGUGAAAAGUACCCCGGGAGGGGAGUGAAAUAGUACCUGAAACCGUGUGCCUACAAUCCGUCGGAGCCUUUAGGGGUGACGGCGUGCCUUUUGAAGAAUGAGCCUGCGAGUUAGUGCUGCGUGGCGAGGUUAACCCGUGUGGGGUAGCCGUAGCGAAAGCGAGUCCGAAUAGGGCGAUGUAGUCGCGUGGUCUAGACCCGAAGCGGAGUGAUCUAGCCAUGGCCAGGGUGAAGCGUGGGUAAGACCGCGUGGAGGCCCGAACCCACCAGGGUUGAAAACCUGGGGGAUGAGCUGUGGUUAGGGGUGAAAGGCCAAUCAAACUCCGUGAUAGCUGGUUCUCCCCGAAAUGCAUUUAGGUGCAGCGUCGUGUGUUUCGUGCCGGAGGUAGAGCACUGGAUGGUCUAGGGGGCCCACAAGCUUACCGAAAUCAACCAAACUCCGAAUGCCGGUACGUGAGAGCGCGGCAGUGAGACUGCGGGGGAUAAGCUUCGUAGUCGAGAGGGAAACAGCCCAGAACGCCGGCUAAGGCCCCUAAGUGUGUGCUAAGUGGGAAAGGAUGUGGGGUCGCCCAGACAACCAGGAGGUUGGCUUAGAAGCAGCCACCCUUUAAAGAGUGCGUAAUAGCUCACUGGUCAAGUGGUCCUGCGCCGACAAUGUAGCGGGGCUCAAGCACACCGCCGAAGCCGUGUCAUUUC